GAUCCUGGCUCAGGAUGAACGCUAGCUACAGGCUUAACACAUGCAAGUCGCGGGGCAGCAUUUCCUUAGCUUGCUAAAGGAGAUGGCGACCGGCGCACGGGUGAGUAACGCGUAUCCAACCUUCCCUUGUCCACGGGAUAGCCCGUCGAAAGGCGGACUAACACGAUAUGCAGUUCUCAGCAGGCAUCUAACGAGAACGAAAUGUGAAGGAGAAGGAUGGGGAUGCGUCUGAUUAGCUUGUUGGCGGGGUAACGGCCCACCAAGGCGACGAUCAGUAGGGGUUCUGAGAGGAAGGUCCCCCACAUUGGAACUGAGACACGGUCCAAACUCCUACGGGAGGCAGCAGUGAGGAAUAUUGGUCAAUGGGCGAGAGCCUGAACCAGCCAAGUAGCGUGCAGGACGACGGCCCUAUGGGUUGUAAACUGCUUUUAUAAGGGAAUAAAGUGAGUCUCGUGAGACUUUUUGCAUGUACCUUAUGAAUAAGGACCGGCUAAUUCCGUG
rnacentral:rRNA from 1 species